rnacentral:rRNA from 1 species
CCUACGGGAGGCAGCAGUGGGGAAUUUUGGACAAUGGGCGCAAGCCUGAUCCAGCAAUGCCGCGUGCAGGAUGAAGGCCUUCGGGUUGUAAACUGCUUUUGUACGGAACGAAACGGCUCUUUCUAAUAAAGAGAGCUAAUGACGGUACCGUAAGAAUAAGCACCGGCUAACUACGUGCCAGCAGCCGCGGUAAUACGUAGGGUGCGAGCGUUAAUCGGAAUUACUGGGCGUAAAGCGUGCGCAGGCGGUUAUAUAAGACAGAUGUGAAAUCCCCGGGCUCAACCUGGGACCUGCAUUUGUGACUGUAUAGCUAGAGUACGGUAGAGGGGGAUGGAAUUCCGCGUGUAGCAGUGAAAUGCGUAGAUAUGCGGAGGAACACCGAUGGCGAAGGCAAUCCCCUGGACCUGUACUGACGCUCAUGCACGAAAGCGUGGGGAGCAAACAGGAUUAGAUACCCUGGUAGUCCACGCCCUAAACGAUGUCAACUGGUUGUUGGGUCUUCACUGACUCAGUAACGAAGCUAACGCGUGAAGUUGACCGCCUGGGGGUAAGGUACGGCCGCGAGUAGUUAAAGUUAAAGUUAAGAGUUAGAGGCGNGAGAGNGCGACGGACGACGACGAGGGAGGAGG